GGAAUAUUGCACAAUGGACGGAAGUCUGAUGCGGCGACGCCGCGUGAGGGAUGACGGCCUUCGGGUUGUAAACCUCUUUCGACAGGGACGAAGCGUAAGUGACGGUACCUGUAGAAGAAGCGCCGGCCAACUACGUGCCAGCAGCCGCGGUAAGACGUAGGGCGCAAGCGUUGUCCGGAUUUAUUGGGCGUAAAGAGCUCGUAGGCGGCUUGUUGCGUCGAUCGUGAAAACUCACAGCUUAACUGUGGGCUUGCGGUUGAUACGGGCAGGCUGGAGUUCGGUAGGGGAGACUGGAAUUCCUGGUGUAGCGGUGAAAUGCGCAGAUAUCAGGAGGAACACCGGUGGCGAAGGCGGGUCUCUGGGCCGAUACUGACGCUGAGGAGCGAAAGCGUGGGGAGCGAAC
rnacentral:rRNA from 1 species